UACGAAGGGGGCUAGCGUUGCUCGGAUUGACUGGGCGUAAAGGGCGCGUAGGCGGUUCGUACAGUCAGACGUGAAAUUCCUGGGCUCAACCUGGGGGCUGCGUUUGAUACGUGCGGACUUGAGUGCGGAAGAGGGUCGUGGAAUUCUCAGUGUAGAGGUGAAAUUCGUAGAUAUUGGGAAGAACACCGGUGGCGAAGGCGGCGACCUGGUCCGAUACUGACGCUGAGGCGCGAAAGCGUGGGGAGCAAACGGG
rnacentral:rRNA from 1 species